CAGGUCUUGACAUCCUCUGACAAUCCUAGAGAUAGGACUUUCCCCUUCGGGGGACAGAGUGACAGGUGGUGCAUGGUUGUCGUCAGCUCGUGUCGUGAGAUGUUGGGUUAAGUCCCGCAACGAGCGCAACCCUUGUCCUUAGUUGCCAGCAUUCAGUUGGGCACUCUAAGGAGACUGCCGGUGACAAACCGGAGGAAGGUGGGGAUGACGUCAAAUCAUCAUGCCCCUUAUGACCUGGGCUACACACGUGCUACAAUGGAUGGUACAAAGGGCUGCAAGACCGCGAGGUUUAGCCAAUCCCAUAAAACCAUUCUCAGUUCGGAUUGUAGGCUGCAACUCGCCUACAUGAAGCCGGAAUCGCUAGUAAUCGUGGAUCAGCAUGCCACGGUGAAUACGUUCCC
rnacentral:rRNA from 1 species